rnacentral:rRNA from 1 species
GAAACCGUGUACGUACAAGCAGUGGGAGCACCUUCGGGUGUGACUGCGUACCUUUUGUAUAAUGGGUCAGCGACUUAUAUUCUGUAGCAAGGUUAACCGUAUAGGGGAGCCGCAGGGAAACCGAGUCUUAACUGGGCGUUAAGUUGCAGGGUAUAGACCCGAAACCCGGUGAUCUAGCCAUGGGCAGGUUGAAGGUUGGGUAACACUAACUGGAGGACCGAACCGACUAAUGUUGAAAAAUUAGCGGAUGACUUGUGGCUGGGGGUGAAAGGCCAAUCAAACCGGGAGAUAGCUGGUUCUCCCCGAAAGCU